rnacentral:rRNA from 1 species
GAUGAACGCUGGCGGCGUGCCUAAUACAUGCAAGUCGAGCGAACAGACGAGGAGCUUGCUCCUCUGACGUUAGCGGCGGACGGGUGAGUAACACGUGGAUAACCUACCUAUAAGACUGGGAUAACUUCGGGAAACCGGAGCUAAUACCGGAUAAUAUAUUGAACCGCAUGGUUCAAUAGUGAAAGACGGUUUUGCUGUCACUUCUAGCUGGAUCCGCGCCGCAUUAGCUAGUUGGUAAGGUGACGGCUUACCAAGGCAACGAUGCGUAGCCGACCUGAGAGGGUGAUCGGCCACACGGGAACUGGGACGCGGUCCAGACUCCUACGAGAGGCAGCAGUAGGGAAUCGGACGCAAUGGGCGAGAGCCUGACGGAGCAGCGCCGCGUGAAUGAUGAAGGUCUUCGGAGCGUAAAACUCUGUUAUGAGGGAAGAACAAAUGUGUAAGUAACUAUGCACGUCUUGACGGUACCUAAUCAGAAAGCCACGGCUAACUACGUG